AGAGAAAUAAAUGCAAUGAGAAUUGUCCCAGUGGAAGUUCAAAGAUCUUGUAAGUAAUCCAUUAUUUUAAAGAUUUAUUCUUGAACCACGGGUUGGUCUGAAGUCUGCUGGGAAGCUAUAGGCACUUUUAGCUGGUUGAACAACAAAUUAGUUGCUUAGGAGGAGGAGCCCUUAAUGAAAUAUUAAUAUCAGGGAUUUUAAUUGCUGGUAACCCAGGGUUAAAAGUUAACCCCUGAGAUCUGAUAGUCAUCAUUGUCCUGUCGGAUUUUGAUUUCUGACAGAAGUGUGCCCUGGGAUUGCCCUGUAAUAGUUUCUGUGCUGGGUACCACAUAUGUCCAGUAUGUGCAGUGAAAAAGAGGAGGUAUCUAAUAGCCUUUGUUAUCCUAUACUGUCAGAGCAGUAAAUGACAAGUGUUAAGGAAAUCUCCCAGCUGCUGUAGAUUACAAGGACCUAGACCAUUCUGUUCAGAACCAGAAUAAAUGAGUCUGGCUGGAGAGAGUAACCCUGCUAUAAAACAAGCAAAAAUGGAAGAAAGCAAAGGGGUGAGAAAUAACAGAGAGGAACAGAGAUGGCUCCAGCUGAAGGGCUGGAAAACUCCCACAGUUUGGCAUCCACGUGAGACAUGAAUGAAACUCCAGCAUGUUUUCUCUCCCCCUCUGUUUUUUCUUGCAGUUUACCCACUGCCUUCGAGGUGUUUAAACUCCACAAAGUCCCUGGUUCAACACCUGGAAAAGCUGGCCAGAGAUGCAUUAUAAUGCAUGGACCUCAUUAUGUGAGCACUCGCUGCUGCGUGCUGACAAGAAGUUAAGUGUCUACAAAAUGUUCCGUGUGCUGGUUGAACCCCUGCAGCCUUGUUUCCUACCCAGGGGUAGCAGUGUUUCUGCAGUGCUGUCUCAGCAGAACAGCAAGCAAUGAACAUGGAGACCUGGAUUGGGGGGUUACUGCUGCUGAAAAGGAAAGGACAGACAAAAGGAAUCAAGAAUAUAGCAGAUAGGAGAAAAAUGCAUGGAAGGGAUACAAGAGGGACAGACGGUUUAUGGGCUGUUGCUGAUGUAUUUUCGUACUCCCUGAGUCCUGCAAGCACUGGGAAUAUGGGAAGAAAAGACAGACCAACAGAAAGGAUCAGUGUGAGAGACUGCGAAGUGGCCGAGAAGCUGGUCUUGCAUAAGUCUAUUGACAAGAAAAACAAAUCAAGCUCCUGACCUUGGCAUCAUUGCUCACUGAGGAGUUUUUUGUACCUGAAAGAAAACCUGCUAAUACCCCAUCCAAGUAAUGAAUUAACUUGCACGUUAUCACUAAGUACAACAACAGAGAUCUAGCUGUAAAGCAGACACCUCUUAAGGUAAGACUGAAAUCCAAUGUUACUUUUUAAAAAAAGAAAACAGAAAAGCUUGGCAGCACUAGGCUACAUAUUGACAAUUACGGUUGUACAAACCACAAUAUUUAUUAGUUGUCUCAAGGAUGGUGUUUUUAAAUAUCUUGAGCAGUGAGCUCAUGUUCUUCCCCAGUUUUAAAGUGGACCCAUGCAAUAUAUAAAUGGGAGAGUAGAAGUCAAAUACUGUGUUGCAGGCAAUAAAAAACAGCAGAUGACAUUAUCCA
rnacentral:lncRNA from 1 species